rnacentral:lncRNA from 1 species
AUCUUCUUAGCUCACUCCAAUACUAUGGAAGAUCUAUGUACAAACCCCACUCUAAUAAUUAGCAGCAAAACCAAAAGUACGAUCACAUCAAAACCCAUAUCAAGUCUGAACUUCUAGGUCAUUUAAAUAAUAUCUGAACAUGGUAUAACCGAUAUACCAAUGUUGACCUUCCUACACUAAUCUUAGGUCAAACCUCUCUUAUCAUGAUCAAAGACAAUUUAUACUUUCUUUCUACACUAAUCGAAAAUCAAACCCGAUGCAUACAUUUUAUCACAAUACCCAGUAAUCUUACACCUUAAGCAC